CCGUGUCGCUUGUCGUAAGAGAGCUCGACAUGCGGAAAAGAGAGAGAAGAGCUACGGCCUAUGGGCAUCGCGCUCCCAGCGGUGGGCCCAACACAGGUCGCCGGUCGCGUCGUGAGACCACCGUGCGCAAGCUGCAUCCACGGCUGUGGGAGUUAAUUGCACAAAACCAUCACAUUAACACUUAAGAUUACAGAAAACAUCGGUUAAGGAUUUUUUUUUUUGUCAGAAACCACUGAUUCUCGGCCUUAUCUUUUGUAACAAACCUUUAAAUUUUAAGUAAUAAAGCGCUUCUUUUUGAAAAAAAAACUUUUGUAAAAAGCAUUGAUCGGUCUCUUUGGGCAUUUUAACCUUAAUUAUGACAGGUGGGUCCCACUUUUGUCGAGGUGGCGUAACGGCUUGUGUUAGAAAACGUUUGUUCUAAUAUUACAAACUAGUCCCUUGAAUUUUACAUACCAUUUUUUCAAUAAAAAAGCAAUCUGCUCCAUGUUUGUUUGGUCAACCCGCACCAAACCACACACAAGCACACAGGUAGCGCAUGCGGCAGCUAGGGUUCUUGUCGUCGCCCCCCAAGACCACCAACCGCGGCCAGCCUCCACCGCGUACCGAUGCCAGCAUCUCAACCAGUCUCCUUCUCCAACUCCGCGGUUCACUAUCAGGACGGCCGAAGGGAACAAGUGCAGCGGCUCGUAGAUGGCCGGCUUGCCGAUGCCCAGCAGCAGGUCCUUGCCCGGGUGCAUCAUAGCCAGCCUACCGGCGGCCGGCUCCCAGUUCCGAGUUGGGCAAGGCUACGGCUUGGCACUAGUGCAAAAACGGCUAGCCACAACAUUAGUUGAUGGCGCGCCAGUUUCUAUCAACGCCAGCACUAUUUUUUCCAAAUAGUGCUGGUGUCAGCCAAUUUCGUACCCCAUAGAUAUUAUGUUAUUGCUGGCAUCGAAAUCUUAGAGAAUGCCACCUGUAUGUGGGUCCUAACGUUCUGACCUGGCCUAACUUAGUGCUGGCCUAGCCAAAGUACCCUACACCAGCACUAACCGUAAUAGCUAUGGCGUCGCUGAGGAAGUUACGGCAACCGUAUAUUUUGCGGGUCCACUUUGAUUAAUCCAUUUUUGAGCCAGCAUAACACCGAUGUGAGCAGUAUCCGAACGCCAGGGACAUAGAAUUGUAAUGGCGUUCCCUGUUUUUCGUACGCCGGUAAUUACGUCGCAGAACUAUUCACAUGUGACCUUGCAUCCAUUUAGAUGUUUUCCUUCUUCUUCCUCCCUCUUUCCUCUUCCUCCUCUUUCUCUUCUCUUGUUCUUGAGAAAAACAUCAAAUUUUUUCUCAUAAUUUCUUAAGUAGGUAGUUAGAUCUAGUUAGAUGAUGCAUUAAUUAAGCUUGCUAGCCUUCACUCUCUCACUCACUAAGCUAGUUCUCUUCUUCACCCAGUCAAACACGUACACACACUUGCAUUAAAAUUUCCACCACACUCCAUUAAUGGCGCAUCCAACUUAGGUACGGUUGGUCGACCCCCUCUCUCUCGCACCUUGGAUGAGGUAAAAUAGAUUGAACUUCUCGUUAAUUUAUGUGCAUAUAUAUGAUGCAUGCGCAUAUGGAUGGAUUUGUGUGUGUGUGUGUGUGUGUGUGUGUGUGUGUGUGUGUGUGUCAUUAGUUGUCUCGUGCAAUGUUUCAUAUUGCAUGCAAUGUCUAGAGAGUUGCUAAUGUCCUGGCGAAACGUUGACUCAUUUCCGUUUCGUAAAAUUUCUGGCACUCAAUAUGUCACUUUUUUAGCAUUGGUCAUGCCGAAUUUUUUUAUGUCGUCAUUGGUACUAUAUUUAAUUUAUUUUUUACUUUUACCUUUGUAACAUGGAUCAAAAUGUGAUGGGCUUUCUUAAUUUCGCGGUGGCAAAUAUGAUACAAAAGGGUGAAGUGCAGAUAUUAUGUCCAUGUUUGAGAUGCGAAAAUGGUGUUUUUCCACAACCCGUUCGAAGGCAGCGUGCUGGCGCACUUGCUCUGUCGAGAUUUUGUUGCAGGUUAUACAUAGUGGACAAUGCAUGGUGAGGAGGAUGUUAGCGAUGAUGAAGGAGGAAACAAUGAUGCGGAAAACUCUGGCGAUGAAGCAGAGCCGCCAAAAGGAGGAAACAAUGAACAUGCGCAUGAAGAAAAUGAUGAAAUGCCACCGGAACAUGAAGAGGAUCAUGAGACUGUCACGCAGGAUAUGUCGUUGGCUACAAUGCUACAAGAUCCUCAUGUCAAAUAUCUGCUUCGGAAGAAGACGACAACCGAGAGAGAUGCUAUUAAAGAGGCUCUAAAGUUGGCGCAAUUGGAAUUAGAUGCAAAAAUUCCACUGUAUGAAGGCUGCGAUCCCGAGCACACCCACGUGCACGUCACGCUCAAACUUCUGGACAUCAAGGCAAGUUUCAAGAGCACAGAUGCAAGUCUGGAUGCUAUGGAAUAUUUACACAAAGUUUUGCCCAAGGGGAAUUUGUUGCCUCGUAGUGUUGAUGAGGCGAAGAAGAUCGUGUGCCCGCUUGAUUUACCGCAUGUAAGAUAUCAUGCAUGCAUAAAUGAUUGCAUCUUAUAUCGGAAUGAGUAUGAGAAUAAAACAGUGUCCAACUUGCAACGAACCCUGAUACAAGCCUGGGAACAAGGAACCUCGAAAGGUUGUAUGGUAUCUUCCAUUGAUUCCUCGCUUGCAGCGUUAUUUCGCUGACCCGAAGAAGCAAAGAAUAUGACUUGGUACAAGACUAGAACAUCAAAAGGUGAUGGCAUUCUGAGACAUAUUGCAGAUGGUUGUCAGUGGAAAGCACUGGAUAGUUUAGAACCAAAAUUCGCAACAGAACCAAGAAACCCCAGGUUGGAUGUCAGUAGUGAUGAACUAAAUCCAUUUGGCAACCAGAGGAGCACACAUAGUACAUAGAUCGCAUUUGUAUGAAUGUAUAACCUCCCUCCCUGGCUCUGCAUAAAACAAAAGUACAUACACAUGAUUAUGCUAAUCAAGGGCCAGUCCAGCCUGACAAUGAUAUCAACACAUAUGUAGAGUUGUUGAAGGAGGAGUUAGAAAUAUUAUGAAGGCCUGAAGGGGUCAAAACAAUGUGUAUUCAUGCAAAUAUCUUAUCAAAAUCAAUGUGGGACAAAAACGUGUUUAUAUAAAUUGAUAAUAUAUUCCGAUUUUCUGUUGCUGUGGCAGCAAUUUUUUACUGCUUUUCAAAACACUAGUAAUGGCGUUCGGACAAUGCGCAACGCCAGUGAAGAUUUAUCUUAGUACUGUCGUAACACCAUGUCACAACCCCAUAGCUAUAUGUGAUAUUGGCGUCGUGUAGCUAAAUCCAAUGUCAUAGGUAUCUAAAAUAGUGUUGGUGUAGGCUCCAACGCCACCACUAUAUUUUAACAAUGACGCCACAAUAGUGACGUCGUUCGUCCACGCCAGCAAAGCCCUUUGGCACGGCAUAGCUAUGAUUUUCUGCACUAGUGUGGGCACCACCUCCCAGUUUCGGAGGUGGGCGACAACCUCGAUGCUGAGGGAGCCCAAGCUUGGGGAUGGCCUGUUGCGGGUAGGGUGGGCGGUCGGCAAGGGCCUGGUUGCCUUUUCCUAUUCUAAUUGAAGGGUGCCUAUGCAAAAAUACCAGGGACUAUUUGGUAAUUUCAUAUCACACUUUGUCUAGUGCCUUCUGGGACCAACAGUUAGGCCACGUCAGCUUUUGCGGGACCCACCUAUCAUAAUCAAGGUCAAAAUGCCCAAAGAGACCGAUCAGUGUCUUUUCGGCAAAAGAUUAGGCCAAGAAUCAAUGCUUUCCAGCAAAAAUCCGUAAACCAAUGUCAUCUGCAAAUGUAGGCGUCAAUGUGUGGUUUUCUGCAAUUAACUCCGGCUACAGAGACCAUGGAUGCCGAGGACAGUGAAGGCGCCUCCAUGGAGGUCGAUCAAGAAAUGACUGACCAGCCGCUCUAGACGCACCAAUGGUUUUUGCUUGCGCCGCUGCACUUUAUUGCCUUGCUCCACCUGCAAAAAAAGUCAGAUCGGUGGCAGGACAAGGGCAAAAUGAAGAAAACUGACCUCGAGGCGUAACUAUUUCACAAACUAAACUAUAGAUGAAACAAAUGCACCUGACUAACCAUUUUGUGUAGCGUUCGACUGGUCGGCACUGCACUACACUGAGUAGCGUCUGACUGACAGGCGACACACUCAUCGCCAUCGUGGCAACCUGGGGCCAUACAGGGCCCCACCCCUGGUUUGGUCUGCAGCGAUGUACAACCAGGAGGACAAGAGGUGAAAGAACCUGCAGCGCUGCACAACCAAAUGUUGGGAAUCGUAGCAUAAUUUAAAAUUUUCCUACGCUCACCAAGAUGCAUCUAUGGAGUAUACUAGCAACGAGGGGAAGGGAGUGCAUCUACAUACCCUUGUAGAUCGCGAGCGGAAGCGUUCCAAUGAACGUGGAUGACGGAGUCGUACUCGCCGUGAUCCAAAUCACCGAUGACCGAGUGCCGAACGGACGGCACCUCCGCGUUCAACACACGUACGGUGCAGCGACGUCUCCUCCUUCUUGAUCCAGCAAGGGGGGAGGAGAGGUUGAUGGAGAUCCAACAGCACGACGGCGUGGUGGUGGAUGUAGCGGGUCUCGGCAGGGCUUUGCCAAGCUUCUGCGAGAGAGAGAGAGAGAGAGGUGUUGCAGGGGAGGAGGGAGGCGCCCAAGGCUGUGCUUUGCUGCCCUCCCUCCCCCCCCACUAUUUAUAGGACCCCUGGGGGGGCACCAGCCCUUGGGAGAACAGAUCUCCAAGGGGGGCGGCAGCCAAGUGGGGGGAAGGGGUGCCUUGCCCCCCAAGGCAAGGGGGAAGCUCCCCCCCCUAGGGUUCCCAACCCUAGGCGCAUGGGGGGAGGCCCAAGGGGGGCGCCCCAGCCCACUAAGGGCUGGUUCCCUUCCACUUUCAGCCCACGGGGCCCUCCGGGAUAGGUGGCCCCACCCGGUGGACCCCCGGGAUCCUUCCGGUGGUCCCGGUACAAUACCGGUAACCCCCGAAACUUUCCCGGUGGCCGAAACUUGACUUCCUAUAUAUAAUUCUUCACCUCCGGACCAUUCCGGAGCCUAUCGUGACGUCCGGGAUCUCAUCCGGGACUCCGAACAACUUUCGGGUUUCCGCAUACAUAUAUCUCUACAACCCUAGCGUCACCGAACCUUAAGUGUGUAGACCCUACGGGUUCGGGAGACAUGCAGACAUGACCGAGACGCCUCUCCGGUCAAUAACCAACAGCGGGAUCUGGAUACCCAUGUUGGCUCCCACAUGUUCCACGAUGAUCUCAUCGGAUGAACCACGGUGUCGAGGAUUCAAAUCGGUAUGUUACUUGCCCGAGAUUCGAUCGUCGGUAUCCCAAUACCUUGUUCAAUCUCGUUACCGGCAAGUCUCUUUACUCGUACCGCAAUGCAUGAUCCCGUGACUAACGCCUUAGUCACAUUGAGCUCAUUAUGAUGAUGCAUUACCGAGUGGGCCCAGAGAUACCUCUCCGUCACACGGAGUGACAAAUCCCAGUCUCGAUCCGUGCCAACCCAACAGACACUUUCGGAGAUACCCGUAGUGCACCUUUAUAGUCACCCAGUUACGUUGUGACGUUUGACACACCCAAAGCACUCCUACGGUAUCCGGGAGUUGCACGAUCUCAUGGUCUAAGGAAAAGAUACUUAACAUUGGAAAAGCUCUAGCAAACGAAACUACACGAUCUUUUAUGCUAUGCUUAGGAUUGGGUCUUGUCCAUCACAUCAUUCUCCUAAUGAUGUGAUCCCGUUAUCAAUGACAUCCAAUGUCCAUAGUCAAGAAACCAUGACUAUCUGUUGAUCAACGAGCUAGUCAACUAGAGGCUUACUAGGGACACGUUGUGGUCUAUGUAUUCACACAUGUAUUACGAUUUCCGGACAAUACAAUUAUAGCAUGAAUAAUAGACAAUUACCAUGAACAAAGAAAUAUAAUAAUAACCAUUUAUUAUUGCCUCUAGGGCAUAUUUCCAACAGUCUCCCACUUGCACUAGAGUCAAUAAUCUAGUUACAUUGUGAUGAAUCGAACACCCAUUGCGUCCUGGUGUUGAUCAUGUUUUGCCCUAGGGAGAGGUUUAGUCAACGGAUCUGCUACAUUCAGGUCCGUAUGUACUUUACAAAUAUCUAUGUCUCCAUUUUGAACACUUUCACGAAUGGAGUUGAAGCGACGCUUGAUAUGCCUGGUCUUCCUGUGAAACAUGGGCUCCUUCGCAAGGGCAAUAGCUCCAGUGUUGUCACAGAAGAGAGUCAUCGGGCCCGACGCAUUGGGAAUCACCCCUAGGUUGGUAAUGAACUCCUUCAUCCAGACUGCUUCCUGUGCUGCCUCCGAGGCUGCCAUGUACUCCGCUUCACAUGUAGAUCCCGCCACGAUGCUUUGCUUGCAACUGCACCAGCUUACUGCUCCUCCAUUCAAAAUAUACACGUAUCCGGUUUGUGACUUCGAGUCAUCCAGAUCUGUGUCGAAGCUAGCGCCGACGUAACCCUUUACGACGAGCUCUUCGUCACCUCAUAAACGAGAAACAUAUCCUUAGUCCUCUUCAGGUACUUCAGGAUAUUCUUGACCAUUGUCCAGUGUUCCAUGCCGGGAUUACUUUGGUACCUUCCUACCAAACUUACGGCAAGGUUUACAUCAGGUCUGGUACACAGCAUGGCAUACAUAAUAGACCCUAUGGCCGAGGCAUAGGGGAUGACACUCAUCUUUUCUAUAUCUUCUGCCGUGGUCGGGCAUUGAGAAUUGCUCAAUUGCACACCUUGCAAUACAGGCAAGAACCCCUUCUUGGACUAAUCCAUACUGAACUUUUUCAAUAUCUUGUCAAGGUAUGUACUCUGUGAAAGACCAAUGAGGCGUCUUGAUCUAUCUCUAUAGAUCUUGAUGCCUAAUAUAUAAGCAGCUUCUUCAAGGUCCUUCAUUGAAAAACACUUACUCAAAUAGGCCUUUAUACUUUCCAAGAAUUCUAUAUCAUCUCCCAUCAACAGUAUGUCAUCCACAUAUAAUAUGAGAAAUGCUACAGAGCUCCCACUCACUUUCUUGUAAACACAGGCUUCUCCAUAAGUCUGUGUGAACCCAAACGCUUUGAUCAUCUCAUCAAAGCGAAUGUUCCAACUCCGAGAUGCUUGCACCAGCCCAUAGAUUGAGCGCUGGAGCUUGCAUACUUUGUUAGCAUUCUUAGGAUCGACAAAACCUUCCGGCUGCAUCAUAUACAACUCUUCCUUAAGGAAGCCAUUAAGGAAUGCCGUUUUGACGUCCAUCUGCCAUAUCUCAUAAUCAUAGUAUGCGGCAAUUGCUAACAUGAUUCGGACGGACUUCAGCUUCGCUACGGGUGAGAAAGUCUCAUCGUAGUCAACCCCUUGAACUUGUCGAUAACCCUUAGCGACAAGUCGAGCUUUGUAGAUGGUCACAUUACCAUCUGCGUCCGUCUUCUUCUUAAAGAUCCAUUUGUUUUCUAUGGCUCGCCGCUCAUCGGGCAAGUCAGUCAAAGUCCAUACUUUGUUUUCAUACAUGGAUUCUAUCUCGGAUUUCAUGGCUUCUAGCCAUUUGUCGGAAUCCGGGCCCGCCAUCGCUUCUUCAUAGUUCGAAGGUUCACCGUUGUCUAACAACAUGAUUUCCAGGACAGGGUUGCCGUACCACUCUGGUGUGGAACGUGUCCUUGUGGACCUACGAAGUUCAGUAACUUGAUCCGAAGCUUCAUGAUCAUCAUCAUUAACUUCCUCCCCAGUCGGUGUAGGAACCACAGGAACAUUUUCCCGCGCUGCGCUACUUUCCGGUUCGGAAGGGGUGACUAUCACCUCAUCAAGUUCCACUUUCCUCCCACUCAAUUCUUUCGAGAGAAACUCCUUCUCUAGAAAGGACCCGUUCUUGGCAACGAAGAUCUUGCCCUCGGAUCUGAGGUAGAAGGUAUACCCAAUAGUUUCCUUAGGGUAUCCUAUGAAGACGCAUUUUUCCGACUUGGGUUCGAGCUUUUCAGGUUGAAGUUUCUUGACAUAAGCAUCGCAUCCCCAAACUUUUAGAAACGACAGCUUAGGUUUCUUCCCAAACCAUAAUUCAUACGGUGUCGUCUCAACGGAUUUCGACGGAGCCCUAUUUAAAGUGAAUGCGGCAGUCUCUAAAGCAUAGCCCCAAAAUGAGAGCGGUAAAUCGGUAAGAGACAUCAUAGAUCGCACCAUAUCCAAUAGAGUGCAAUUACGACGUUCGGACACACCGUUUCUCUGAGGUGUUCCAGGCGGCGUGAGUUGUGAAACUAUUCCACAUUUCCUUAAGUGUGUACCAAAUUCGUGACUUAAAUAUUCUCCACCACGAUCUGAUCGUAAGAAUUUUAUUUUCCUGUCACGUUGAUUCUCGACUUCACUCUGAAAUUCCUUGAACUUUUCAAAGGUUUCAGACUUGUGUUUCAUUAGGUAGACAUACCCAUAUCUACUUAAAUCAUCAGUGAGAGUGAGAACAUAACGAUAUCCUCCGCGAGCCUCAACACUCAUUGGACCGCACACAUCGGUAUGUAUGAUUUCCAAUAAGUUGGUUGCUCGCUCCAUUGUUCCAGAGAACGGAGUCUUGGUCAUCUUACCCAUGAGGCAUGGUUCGCACGUGUCAAAUGAUUCGUAAUCAAGAGACUCCAAAAGUCCAUCUGCAUGGAGCUUCUUCAUGCGCUUGACACCAAUGUGACCAAGGCGGCAGUGCCACAAGUAUGUGGGACUAUCGUUAUCAACUUUACAUCUUUUGGUAUUCACACUAUGAACAUGUGUAACAUCACGUUCGAGAUUUAUCAAAAAUAAACCAUUGACCAGCGGGGCAUGACCAUAAAACAUAUCUCUCAAAUAAAUAGAACAACCAUUAUUCUCGGAUUUAAAUGAGUAGCCAUCUCGAAUUAAACGAGAUCCAGAUACAAUGUUCAUGCUCAAAGCUAGCACUAAAUAACAAUUAUUGAGGUUUAAAACUAAUCCCGUAGGUAGAUGCAGAGGUAGCGUGCCGACGGCGAUCACAUCGACCUUGGAACCAUUCCCGACGCGCAUCGUCACCUCGUCCUUUGCCAGUCUCCGUUUAUUCCGUAGUUCCUGCUUUGAGUUACAAAUAUGAGCAACCGCACCGGUAUCAAAUACCCAGGAGCUACUACGAGUACUGGUAAGGUACACAUCAGUCUCGGGCUUGGGUCCAUUCUUUGACUUCUUCCCGGUAACUGGUUUACCGGGCGCGGCAACUCCCUUGCCGUCCUUCUUGAAGUUCUUCUUACCCUUGCCCUUCUUGAACUUAGUGGUUUUAUUCACCAUCAACACUUGAUGUUCUUUUCUGAUCUCUACCUCAGCUGAUUUCAGCAUUGAAUAUACCUCAGGAAUGGUCUUUUCCAUCCCCUGCAUAUUGAAGUUCAUCACAAAGCUCUUGUAGCUUGGUGGAAGCGACUGGAGGAUUCUGUCAAUGACCGCGUCAUCCGAGAGAUUGACUCCCAGCUGAGACAAGCGGUUAUGCAACCCAGACAUUCUGAGUAUGUGCUCACUAACAGAACUGUUCUCCUCCAUUUUACAGCUGAAGAACUUGUCGGAGACAUCAUAUCUCUCGACCCGGGCAUGAGCUUGAAAAACCAGUUUCAACUCCUCGAACAUCUCGUAUGCUCCAUGUUUCUCAAAACGCUUUUGGAGACCCGGUUCUAAGCUGUAAAGCAUGCCGCACUGAACGAGGGAGUAAUCAUCAGCACGUGAUUGCCAAGCGUUCAUAACGUCUUGGUUCUCUGGGAUUGGUGCUUCAUCUAGCGGUGCUUCUAAGACAUAAUCUUUCUUGGCUACUAUGAGAAUCAUCCUCAGGUUCCGGACCCAGUCCGUAUAGUUGCUGCCAUCAUCUUUCAGCUUGGUUUUCUCUAGGAACGCGUUGAAAUUGAGGACAACGUUGGCCAUUAGAUCUACAAGACAUAGUGUAAAGAUUUUAGAGUAAGUUCAUGAUAAUUAAGUUCAUCUAAUCAAAUUAUUUAAUGAACUCCCACUCAGAUAGACAUCCCUCUCGUCAUCUAAGUGAAACAUGAUCCGAGUUUAACUAGGCCGUGUCCGAUCAUCACGUGAGACGGACUAGUCAAGAUCGGUGAACAUCUCCAUGUUGAUCGUAUCUUCUAUACGACUCAUGCUCGACCUUUCGGUCCUCCGUGUUCCGAGGCCAUGUCUGUACAUGCUAGGCUCGUCAAGUCAACCUAAGUGUAUUGCGUGUGUUCCGAGGCCAUGUCUGUACAUGCUAGGCUCGUCAACACCCGUUGUAUUCGAACGUUAGAAUCUAUCACACCCGAUCAUCACGUGGUGCUUCGAAACAAUGAACCUUCGCAACGGUGCACAGUUAGGGUGAACACUUUCUUGAAAUUAUUAUAAGGGAUCAUCCUACUUGCUACCGUCGUUCUAAGCAAAUAAGAUGCAAAAACAUGCAAUCAAAUAGUGACAUGAUAUGGCCAAUAUCAUCAUGCUCCUUUGAUCUCCAUCUUCGGGGCACCAUGAUCAUCUUCGUCACCGGCAUGACACCAUGAUCUCCAUCAUCAUGAUCUCCAUCAUUGUGUCUUCAUGAAGUCGUCACGCCAACGAUUACUUCUACUUGUAUGGCUAACACGUUUAGCAACAAAGUAAAGUAAAUUACAUGGCGUUAUUCAAUGACACGCAGGUCAUGCAAAAUAAUAAAGACAACUCCUAUGGCUCCUGCCGGUUGUCAUACUCAUCGACAUGCAAGUCGUGAUUCCUAUUACAAGAAUAUGAUCAAUCUCAUACAUCACAUAUAUCAUUCAUCACAUCUUCUGGCCAUAUCACAUCACAUAGCACUUGCUGCAAAAACAAGUUAGACGUCCUCUAAUUGUUGUUGCAUGUUUUUACGUGGUUUGUAGGUUUCUAGCAAGAACGUUUUCUUACCUACGUAUGACCACAACGUGAUUUGCCAAUUUCUAUUUACCCUUCAUAAGGACCCUUUUCAUCGAAUCCGUUCCGACUAAAGUAGGAGAGACAGACACCCGCUAGCCACCUUAUGCAACUAGUGCAUGUCAAUCGGUGGAACCUGUCUCACGUAAGCGUACGUGUAAGGUCGGUCCGGGCCGCUUCAUCCUACAAUGCCGCCGAAACAAGAAACGACUAGUAGCGGCAAGAAGAAUUGGCAAACUCAACGCCCACAACUGCUUUGUGUUCUACUCGUGCAUAGUAACUACGCAUAGGCCUGGCUCAUGAUGCCACUGUUGGGAAUCGUAGCAUAAUUUAAAAUUUUCCUACGCUCACCAAGAUGCAUCUAUGGAGUAUACUAGCAACGAGGGGAAGGGAGUGCAUCUACAUACCCUUGUAGAUCGCGAGCGGAAGCGUUCCAAUGAACGUGGAUGACGGAGUCGUACUCGCCGUGAUCCAAAUCACCGAUGACCGAGUGCCGAACGGACGGCACCUCCGCGUUCAACACACGUACGGUGCAGCGACGUCUCCUCCUUCUUGAUCCAGCAAGGGGGGAGAAGAGGUUGAUGGAGAUCCAACAGCACGACGGCGUGGUAGUGGAUGUAGCGGGUCUCGGCAGGGCUUUGCCAAGCUUCUGCGACAGAGAGAGAGGUGUUGCAGGGGAGGAGGGAGGCGCCCAAGGCUGUGUUUUGCUGCCCUCCCUCCCCCCCACUAUUUAUAGGACCCCUGGGGGGCGCCAGCCCUUGGGAGAACAGAUCUCCAAGGGGGGCGACGGCCAAGUGGGGGGAAGGGGUGCCUUGCCCCCCAAGGCAAGGGGGAAGCUCCCCCCCCCUAGGGUUCCCAACCCUAGGCGCAUGGGGGGAGGCCCAAGGGGGGCGCCCCAGCCCACUAAGGGCUGGUUCCCUUCCACUUUCAGCCCACGGGGCCCUCCGGGAUAGGUGGCCCCACCCGGUGGACCCCCGGGACCCUUCCGGUGGUCCCGGUACAAUACCGGUAACCCCCGAAACUUUCCCGGUGGCCGAAACUUGACUUCCUAUAUAUAAUUCUUCACCUCCGGACCAUUCCGGAGCCUCUCGUGACGUCCGGGAUCUCAUCCGGGACUCCGAACAACUUUCGGGUUUCCGCAUACAUAUAUCUCUACAACCCUAGCGUCACCGAACCUUAAGUGUGUAGACCCUACGGGUUCGGGAGACAUGCAGACAUGACCGAGACGCCUCUCCGGUCAAUAACCAACAGCGGGAUCUGGAUACCCAUGUUGGCUCCCACAUGUUCCACGAUGAUCUCAUCGGAUGAACCACGGUGUCGAGGAUUCAAUCAAUCCGUAUGCAAUUCCCUUUAUCAAUCGGUAUGUUACUUGCCCGAGAUUCGAUCGUCGGUAUCCCAAUACCUUGUUCAAUCUCGUUACCGGCAAGUCUCUUUACUCGUACCGCAAUGCAUGAUCCCGUGACUAACGCCUUAGUCACAUUGAGCUCAUUAUGAUGAUGCAUUACCGAGUGGGCCCAGAGAUACCUCUCCGUCACACGGAGUGACAAAUCCCAGUCUCAAUCCGUGCCAACCCAACAGACACUUUCGGAGAUACCCGUAAUGCACCUUUAUAGUCACCCAGUUACGUUGUGACGUUUGGCACACCCAAAGCACUCCUACGGUAUCCGGGAGUUGCACGAUCUCAUGGUCUAAGGAAAAGAUACUUGACAUUGGAAAAGCUCUAGCAAACGAAACUACACGAUCUUUUAUGCUAUGCUUAAGUUGGGUCUUGUCCAUCACAUCAUUCUCCUAAUGAUGUGAUCCCGUUAUCAAUGACAUCCUAUGUCCAUAGUCAGGAAACCAUGACUAUCUGUUGAUCAACGAGCUAGUCAACUAGAGGCUUACUAGGGACAGGUUGUGGUCUAUGUAUUCACACAUGUAUUACGAUUUCCGGACAAUACAAUUAUAGCAUGAAUAAAAGACUAUUAUCAUGAACACAGAAAUAUAAUAAUAACCAUUUAUUAUUGCCUCUAGGGCAUAUUUCCAACAGAUCGUAUCUUCUAUACGACUCAUGCUCGACCUUUCGGUCCUCCGUGUUCCGAGGCCAUGUCUGUACAUUCUAGGCUCGUCAAGUCAACCUAAGUGUAUUGCGUGUGUUCCGAGGCCAUGUCUGUACAUGCUAGGCUCGUCAACACCCGUUGUAUUCGAACGUUAGAAUCUAUCACACCCGAUCAUCACGUGGUGCUUCGAAACAACGAACCUUCGCAACGGUGCACAGUUAGGGUGAACACUUUCUUGAAAUUAUUAUAAGGGAUCAUCUUACUUACUACCGUCGUUCUAAGCAAAUAAGAUGCAAAAACAUGAUAAACAUCACAUGCAAUCAAAUAGUGACAUGAUAUGGCCAAUAUCAUCAUGCUCCUUUGAUCUCCAUCUUCGGGGCACCAUGAUCAUCUUCGUCACCGGCAUGACACCAUGAUCUCCAUCAUCAUGAUCUCCAUCAUUGUGUCUUCAUGAAGUCGUCACGCCAACGAUUACUUCUACUUCUAUGGCUAACGCGUUUAGCAACGAAGUAAAGUAAUUUACAUGGCGUUAUUCAAUGACACGCAGGUCAUGCAAAAUAAUAAAGACAACUCCUAUGGCUCCUGCCGGUUGUCAUACUCAUCGACAUGCAAGUCGUGAUUCCUAUUACAAGAAUAUGAUCAAUCUCAUACAUCACAUAUAUCAUUCAUCACAUCUUCUGGCCAUAUCACAUCACAUAGCACUUGCUGCAAAAACAAGUUAGACGUCCUCUAAUUGUUGUUGCAAGUUUUACGUGGUUUGUAGGUUUCUAGCAAGAACGUUUUCUUACCUACGUAUGACCACAACGUGAUUUGCCAAUUUCUAUUUACCCUUCAUAAGGACCCUUUUCAUCGAAUCCGUUCCGACUAAAGUAGGAGAGACAGACACCCGCUAGCCACCUUAUGCAACUAGUGCAUGUCAAUCGGUGGAACCUGUCUCACGUAAGCGUACGUGUAAGGUCGGUCCGGGCCGCUUCAUCCUACAAUACCGCCGAAACAAGAAAAGACUAGUAGCGGCAAGAAGAAUUGGCAAACUCAACGCCCACAACUGCUUUGUGUUCUACUCGUGCAUAGUAACUACGCAUAGGCCUGGCUCAUGAUGCCACUGUUGGGAAUCGUAGCAUAAUUUUAAAAUUUUCCUACGCUCACCAAGAUGCAUCUAUGGAGUAUACUAGCAACGAGGGAAAGGAGUGCAUCUACAUACCCUUGUAGAUCGCGAGCGGAAGCGUUCCAAUGAACGUGGAUGACGGAGUCAUACUCGCCGUGAUCCAAAUCACCGAUGACCGAGUGCCGAACGGACGGCACCUCCGCGUUCAACACAUGUACGGUGCAGUGACGUCUCCUUCUUCUUGAUCCAGCAAGGGGGAAGGAGAGGUUGAUGGAGAUCCAGCAGCACGACGGCGUGGUGGUGGAUGUAGCGGGUCUCGGCAGGGCUUCGCCGAGCUUCUGGGAGACGGAGAGGUGUAGCAGGGGAGGAGGGAGGCGCCCAAGGGUGUAAGGUUGCUGCCCUCCCUCCCCCCCUUUAUAUAGGCCCCCUGGGGGGGCGCCAGCCCUGGAGAUGGGAUCUCAAGGGGGGGCGGUGGCCAAAGGGGGGAAGGGGGUGCCUUGCCCCCCAAGGCAAGUGGGAAGCCCCCCUAGGGUUCCCAACCCUAGGCGCAUGGGGAAAGGCCCAUGGGGGGGCGCCCAGCCCACUAGGGGCUGGUUCCCUUCCCACUUCAGCCCAUGGGGCCCUCCGGGAUAGGUGGCCCCACCCGGUGGACCCCCGGAACCCUUCCGGUGGUCCCGGUACAAUACCGGUAACCCCCGAAACUUUCCCGGUGGCCGAAACUUGAUUUCCUAUAUAUAAUUCUUCACCUCCGGACCAUUCCGGAACCUCUCGUGACGUCCGGGAUCUCAUCCGGGACUCCGAACAACUUUCGGGUUUCCGCAUACACAUAUCUCUACAACCCUAGCGUCACCGAACCUUAAGUGUGUAGACCCUACGGGUUCGGGAGACAUGCAGACAUGACCGAGACGCCUCUCCGGUCAAUAACCAACAGCGGGAUCUGGAUACCCAUGUUGGCUCCCACAUGUUCCACGAUGAUCUCAUCGGAUGAACCACGGUGUCGAGGAUUCAAUCAAUCCCGUAUGCAAUUCCCUUUGUCAAUCGGUAUGUUACUUGCCCGAGAUUCGAUCGUCGGUAUCCCAAUACCUUGUUCAAUCUCGUUACCGGCAAGUCUCUUUACUCGUACCGCAAUGCAUGAUCCCGUGACUAACGCCUUAGUCACAUUGAGCUCAUUAUGAUGAUGCAUUACCAAGUGGGCCCAGAGAUACCUCUCCGUCACACGGAGUGACAAAUCCCAGUCUCGAUCCGUGCCAACCCAACAGACACUUUCGGAGAUACCCGUAGUGCACCUUUAUAGUCACCCAGUUACGUUGUGACGUUUGGCACACCCAAAGCACUCCUACGGUAUCCGGGAGUUGCACGAUCUCAUGGUCUAAGGAAAAGAUACUUAACAUUGGAAAAGCUCUAGCAAACGAAACUACACGAUCUUUUAUGCUAUGCUUAGGAUUGGGUCUUGUCCAUCACAUCAUUCUCCUAAUGAUGUGAUCCCGUUAUCAAUGACAUCCAAUGUCCAUAGUCAAGAAACCAUGACUAUCUGUUGAUCAACGAGCUAGUCAACUAGAGGCUUACUAGGGACACGUUGUGGUCUAUGUAUUCACACAUGUAUUACGAUUUUCGGACAAUACAAUUAUAGCAUGAAUAAUAGACAAUUACCAUGAACAAAGAAAUAUACUAAUAACCAUUUAUUAUUGCCUCUAGGGCAUAUUUCUAACACCAAAAGUGGGGCCCGGUUUGGCCCCAGGGUGCCACGUUGAUCAGGAAUAUAGCGCAUGUCAGUCAUGUGCUAGUGGAGCGCUCAAAAGGGUUAGCUGGGUAAAUUUGUUUCGCCUACAAUUUAGUUUGUGAAAUAGUUACGCUUUGAGGUCAGUUUGUCCAUUUUGCCCCGGAUAAGGUUGUACGCCAGUCAACCACAUAGCACGGGUUUGAGAAGCAACACCAGCACACAAAAGAUGUAAGAGUAUGAGAAGGUACAAUCGCAAGGACAGAACUCGAUUUGAGCUACAAUGAAUUAGCCAAGAGGAAAAACUUCGGAUGCUUGAACUUUAAUGAUCUCAAAGGCGUACAACCCAUGCCGACAGAAAGCACCAUCUGCUUCGUAAAUAGUAUAGCGUAAGAUUUAUUUUACCUUGUUUUAUGCUUCAAUUUGAUCAUGUACUGUUCAUGAGGCUCAAGCAAUACAACAAUUAUCGAUUUCAUCGAUUUUUUUCUCUAUUCUCUCUACAUGGUAUCAGCCUAACCCCGAUCCAAAUCAUAGCCGCCGUUGCUUCCGCACUGCACCGUCCCGGGGGCAGUCAAUCCCCAUGAUCGCCACCGAGGGCAGUGUCAUCCGUACCUCAGGUUCGUCCGCUGGUUGUGUUGAUCGACUGCCCUAGAGAGUCUUUUUUCCGAUCCAUUGAUCCGAAUUUUCUCUCACGCGUUGGUCGUUUUCAUCACCGUUUUCAAUUUUGUUUUUCGAUCUAAGAUAGGUUUAAGUCGCCCACCUCCGCCCAUCGACCCCCACGCGCCUCUAUUCCAACACUGGCCCGACUAUCCGGCCUCUUAGCCGAAUAGGCGACCUCGCGCGGCGUGGUGGCCCGCGACCAUCGCCGCACAUCCGUCCGCCCAUCGUUCUGCGCCAUCCGUCAUUGCCUUCAUCCAAUCAGGAUCCUGCACAAACCACGCCUCCAUCCCGCUCAACCGUAUCAGGCCGCUAGGCCAUAGCGCCGCCAUGCACGCGAUGCGUCGACCGGUUGCAUUGUGUUGCCUCGCUCCGCGCCCGGUCGGACGUGGGUCGUGCGCGCACGCAUUGGUUGUACGCACGUUCGUUCGGGCAUCGCCUCGGCCGCCCAACUCCUUCAUCACCAAGAGGCAUCCCCGACCUCGCAAGCGAUCAGAUUGAUCACCGCCUGCCCACGCUCUGGCCCAUCCGUGUCGGGCGACCGACCUAGCCAGUCGCUUGCGCGCUCCUCCGCAGGUCUCGUGAAGAUCAUUCCCAAGUACAACGCGCCUCUCCACUGAUCAAGCAACGGGUUGGCACUGUGUCGUCUCGCCGGUCCGCAGCGCCACUGCCCCGUGGUUGAACCGACUCGCGCGCCGUCGUUGCGUCGCCCCUUUGGACAAUAGCAUUGUGGCACACGGUCCACGCCGCCGCCCCGAGGGUGUCCCCAAAGUGCACUGACCCGUGUGCUGCUGUUGCAUCACCCCUUCGGGGCAUAACGCAGCGGCCCGCGGUCCAUGCUGCCACCCUGGCCGUCCCCACGGCUGCACCGGCCUGUGCGUUGUCGCUGUGUCGCCCCUUCAGACUUAUCGAGGACAUCAGACUUACUUCUAAUACUUAUUUCUUCUUAUCUUUCAUUAAUACGAGUAAUUGUUAAGAAUUAGCCCCACUUUUUCCUUCCUUUUACUCAUUGGUACUUCUUACUUUCUUUGAUUUAAGUUUUCGCUGUGCUCUCAAAAAAGGGGAAAAUCGUGAUUUUUUUUGCAUGUUUUUAUUUGCUUCCACAGGAAUAUGUGCUUCUAAAGGAGGCACAGGUUUGCUUCCGUGAGAAGCAUAAUGCUUCUCAGAAAGGGAAAAUUUUCUUUAAAAAAUCUUUUUUGCACAAGUUGUGCGUCUCGGAAAAGGGGAAAAUCAUGAUUUUUUGUGUGCUUCCAUUAGAAGCACAGAAUUGCAUGUUUUGGAGACAUAGAUAUGUGCUUCUCAAAAAGGGAGAAAAAGGUGGGAAAAACAGUGCUUCCGGCUACGGCUUUUUUCUUCCGGUUUUUUUUCAUAAAAAAUUAAUCCAAAACCUAUUAACAUGGGAUGUACUUUCGAAGAUCUUGAUGCAAGAAAUCCAAUGGUUUAAAUGGUUCGGUAUUUGGAUGUAUGGUUCCAGAGAUAAAAUACUUUCAAAGCAGCAAAUACAAGACUUUUUCUUGGUUUAGCGAUGAAUCGCUAUUUGUAGACCGCGGGUGGAUUGUACGGAGUAUUAGGGGAGUUUUCUGCAAAAUUACUGGACGGGCCAGUUGGAAAAAGUUGCUUGAAUAGUUGGAGGUUCACUAGUAGAAAAGGGGGCUUUUGUCCCGGUUGGUAAGGGCCUUUAGUCCCGGUUUUUGAACCGGGACUAAAGGGUCGUUACUAACGCCUCCCUCCUUUAGUCCCGGUUGGGUGUUACCAACCGGGACUAAAGGAAAUUUUAUGAUUUUUUUUUGAACUUUUUUUUGCGAAUUUUUUUUAUUUAUUUUUUUUUCAAAUUUCUGAAUUAUUUUAACCUCUAAUCUCUAAUCACCACCCCUCAUCACUGCUCAAUUUAUCCUCUAAUCUCUAAUCACCCCUCAUCAUUCCAAAUCAUCUAACUUCCCGGACGGUCACCCAUCCUCUCACUACUCCAGCCUGAGCACGCUUAACUUCCGGGUUCUAUUCUUCCUCGUUUCCAAGUCUGCACUUGUUGUUUUCCUGACAAUAGUAAGAUGUCAAUUCUAUUAACCCUCAGGAAUUUAGCUUGAGCAUGAAGUGACACAUUUCACUGUUUGAGUUUGAAACUAUUGUUUUAAAAAAAAUAAUUAUUUAGUAACACUAAUAUUUCUGGAACAAUUAGUUUGACCAUUGUUUGACCACACUUUGACCAGAUUAGACCAAAAUUCAAAAAAACUGAAAUAAUUAUUUAGUAACACUAAUAUUCUAGAAUAAUUAGUUUGACCAUUGUUUGACCAUAGUUUGACCACGAUUUGAAUUUUUUAGAAUUUUUUUGCCUCUCCAGAUCUUAAAAGCCCCAUAUCUUUUUUUCGGUUAGGUUUUUGAGGAUUUUGAAAAUGUUUAACGGGGUUCCCCAGUUAAAUUCGGAUGUAACUUUUCGAGUAGAUGAUUUUUCAUAUAAAAAACUUUUUCAUCCGAGUUCGUAUGCAAAAGUUAUGCCCAUUUUAAGAAAUUCCAGAGAGAUUUUGCAAAUAAAGUCGAAAUUCAUAUUUGUUAAUUUUCCNNNNNNNNNNNNNNNNNNNNNNNNNNNNNNNNNNNNNNNNNNNNNNNNNNNNNNNNNNNNNNNNNNNNNNNNNNNNNNNNNNNNNNNNNNNNNNNNNNNNNNNNNNNNNNNNNNNNNNNNNNNNNNNNNNNNNNNNNNNNNNNNNNNNNNNNNNNNNNNNNNNNNNNNNNNNNNNNNNNNNNNNNNNNNNNNNNNNNNNNNNNNNNNNNNNNNNNNNNNNNNNNNNNNNNNNNNNNNNNNNNNNNNNNNNNNNNNNNNNNNNNNNNNNNNNNNNNNNNNNNNNNNNNNNNNNNNNNNNNNNNNNNNNNNNNNNNNNNNNNNNNNNNNNNNNNNNNNNNNNNNNNNNNNNNNNNNNNNNNNNNNNNNNNNNNNNNNNNNNNNNNNNNNNNNNNNNNNNNNNNNNNNNNNNNNNNNNNNNNNNNNNNNNNNNNNNNNNNNNNNNNNNNNNAGCCCAUUAGUACUGGUUGGUGGCACCAACCGAGACUAAAGGACUAACCUUUAGUCCCGGUUGGCACCAACCGGGACUAAUGGGCAUCGCACCCUUUAGUCCCGGUUCGUGGCACCAACCGGGACUAAAGGGCCCAGGUGAACCGGGACUAAUGCCUUAGCCGCACGAACCGGGACCAAUGCUCACAUUAGUCCCGGUUCGUGACUGAACCGGGACUAAUGUGAAUAUUGCCCUGUGACGAAAGCCCUGUUUUGUACUAGUGGUUCAUUUGCAAUGGCAAAGCAGAAUUCUCAAGUUUCUGAUACGCUUGUGGCCAGAGGAACAGAAGCACAUAGACUAUCCAUAUUGUCAUCUUCUUUCAUGCGUCUGCAGCUCAUAUCGUUAUGUGCAUGUCACACCCAGGUCAGAAAGUGACUAUGUACUAAACAGCACAGAUUAUCCUUGUCACCAGCAGCUACUGGACUACAAAGGUCUCUUCUCGCCUGGACCAAUUGCCACGUCCUUCACGGGUGAGGCCGGAGAGAUAAAACUGAUUAACCAAAUCUACCAAAUUUCCAUAAAACAACUUCCGAUGCCUUUCAAGCCUACACAUUUUGUGUAAAUAUAGUAGACGUUUUCUGCUCUCUGGAUAUAUGAAGUUAUGGACCAUCUAUGUUCAUCAUUGCUAGAGAAAACUGGAACUGGGAGGCUCUGCGGAGACCAAUAUUUAUCGAUUAGGUAUUUACUAGCACAUAUGCCCGUGCGUUGUAACGGGAGAUAAUUUUUUUGCAACACGCGGGAGGAGAGAUAAUUGAUGUGUUCAUCAAAAAUUGUCUCCACGGCGGUGGGUGACAAAGCGAGGAGCUGCGGUCUUAUCACAUGUCAUGUUUGGCCCAUGAGAUCUUGAUAGUGGUGGGGUUGGUCAGCGUAACGGCGACCACCCGACUGGUACCUUUUUUCCUACGGGUUCACCUCCGUCUCGGAGUUGUGAUUGCGUCCUCAUUUGGUUGUUGUGCGACGACCUUCGAGGCACAGUUGCUUCGACCACCUUCUCCUACAAGGACCUAAUCGGAUGGAUUACUAAUUGCAGCGCAUAAAUUAUGUUUCAUGUAUAAUCAGCACAUAACCAGGCAUGAAUGUCCCUUCAUUUUCAGGGUUUAUUCUCUUCAACUAUUUUUGCGCUCACGUGCCCAUAAAUUUUAUUAAUUAGAGCAAAACCAGCAUAUUCUUUUUUAUUAGCACAUUCCCACAAUUGUUUUCCAUUAUAGCCAACCAGCAUAUUGUCUUUUAUUGGCACUUGCAAGUUACCUCUGGCAAUAAUUUGUGGAGUCCCUCGUUCCACUCAUAAUUCUCAAGAUAACUUCCUUAUUGUCACACAACCUCUUUAUUUGCAGACAACUUAGGGAAAUAUAAUAACUUGUGUGAUUUAGUAUAAAAUGCCAAGAUGAGACUGUUUGUAUCAUAAUUGCAAGAUAGCUGAGUUGCUUUUAUCCGUCGGCACAAUAGGAAAGGCCAUAGUUCAAUCCCCUGGCGCCCUUCACUCUUUGUUGCUCGCAUGUCCGACAGAAAAAGAAAUACGUGGUAGGUCCAGUUUGGCCCACCCAGUGAUAACCGAAAAAAAUUGGAGAGCUACGUGUUGAAUGGACAGAACAAAAUCUAUACAUAUUUUUCUUUUCUUUUCUUAGGGCACCUGCGUGGGAGCUACUAUAACGCUAGUUGCGUCAAAUAGCGCGUCGGACGCACAACAGUUCGCGUCUGGGUCAGCCCACUGGCAGGCACCGAAAUAACCUAUGUUUGCAAGGAACGAGUAAUAAUCCAAAAAAACGACGUGUUCAACGAUCGAACACAUGACCUUAAAGACCCGACCACGUACCGCUAGCCAUGGCUACAAACGCCUACUGCUAACCAAUGGCCAGCGCGAAUAUUUAAGAACAUAGUGCAACGUCAGAUUUAAAACAUUUUUUGAACUUAAAAAAAUGAAUUGCCGAAUAAUCUUAGAAACGUGAAUAUUUUUUGAAAUUACGAACAAUGUUUUUAAUAUUCCGUUCAUUUUGGAACAAACAUGAACAAAACUUGAAACAACAUCAUUCUUUUAAGACAUGAACCUUUUAUCAAAACCCAAACAUUUUUUUAAUUUUUGACCGACUUUUGAAAACAGACAUGUUUUGAACAUUCAGAACAAUUUUAUAUAAUGUGUUUUUAAACGCGGACAUUAUUUUGAGUCUAUAUACAUUCUACUAAAUCAAGAAUAUAUUUCAAAUUUCGAAUAGUUUUUUAAAAUACAUGUUUUUAAAUCACAAAAAAAAUUGGAAUAUUUCUGAAUUUGAAAAAAAAUUGGAAUGAGAAAAUAAAUCAUUUUCCAAACAUUUUGAAAGUGGAGGACAAUAUUGUAAUUUGAACAUUUGAUGAAAAUAUUUAAAAAAAUUCAAAUUCUUAAUUUUUUUAGAAAAAUGGAAUUACGAAAUAGGGUAAAAAUAAAAAUAAAUUAGGACGGAAAAAUAAAACGUGCCGGCCCAGUCUUGGGCGCUCUGUGGGAUGUCGUACUAUCUGCCGCACAGGGCGAGAAGUAGGAUUUUUGUAGCUACAUGGGCAGGCAAAUAAAUGGGCUGGCUUCACUGGGCCACAGCGUGUGAGGGCCUAGUACGAAAUUCUGGAUUGAUAAAAAUACAGACAGACGCAUACAAAUUCAGUACCACCUCGGAUAGAAAAAUAUAUUUCGAUGGUGAACGGAUGAAAAAAAUCGAAGAAACGCACCUUGCUUUAUUAGUAAGUAUAGAUAUAGAUGACAUGAAGGUGUGUUGUUGGCCCACUGCAUCACAUGGCUCGUGUCCGCUUCUAGUACCAUAUUAGCUCAUGGGAUGCCCUUCUCUAAUCAGCUUUGAUUUUCUACUUUUACCUUUAAGUGUGAUAAAACCAUAUAUCAACUUGGCCAUAUAUAUUCUCUCAUCGGUUGCACGCCUUCCAACUAAUGCUGAGGCUGGGCGUAAUUGAUAUCUUCGCGAUAUUAAUAUAUUUCCUUUUUCAAAAAGAAAACGCCUUCCAACCAUAGCCAGACACAACCGGGAAGCUAGACCAAACAUCUGAAAUCUUAGUCUUUACAUCACACACAUUAAAAACUCUUAUUAGAAAUUCCACCAUGCACGCACGCACGUCCACGUGCAGACCAUCUGGUACCAAACCUCUUAGCGCGACUUCUUUUCUAUCUCUAUUCAAAAUUGCAGAUAGUGCAUAACCUAGUAGGUUUGAAAGCAGUUUUUUUAUGCAAAAUUUCUGGAAGUUUGAAGUUCAGCUUAAUUGAGCAAGUCUGCAUAAUCACAAGAAAUUUGCCUCCCCCUUCCUCCUUUUCUUCCACACUGUUAUUUCAACUACUCAGACAAGUGUGCUCUUUGAGUUUGUAUCCACUUGAUACACCUUUUUGGGCCAAUAAAUAAAAUCCAUCCUAUGUUGAAAAAAGAUAUUAUGCCGACCCGCAAAUUUCCUCCUGCAUUCAUCCGCGGACAGCGGGACCAGUCCACAGAUACGGAUGCGGGAGGCGACUAUUCAACGCUGCUCGCAUACAUCUUCCAGCUUUCCUUUAUAUGUUGAUCGUUUCUUAGCUACACUUGCCUAAUUAGAACUUGCUCAAGUUUGGAUUACUCCAACAUGAUUCGUAGUGCCACGUGAUGAACAGUCCCUAUCCGAUAGCUCAUCCGCUGAUUUCUAUAGCUAGCUUUAAAGCAAAGAUCCAAGAAGCAUCACGCACUGUCACACAAUCAUUCUCCGUCGUUCCUUGAGAAGCGAACCCGACGGGUUGGAGCAACGGCUCAGAGCAGCAGCAGAUGAAUGACGUCACCAAGGUGGACCUUCGCGGGCUGGAGUCCGUAGAGCAAGGCUGGGAGCAAGCCUGGGACACGGCGAGUGUGUCCGUGGCGGUGCGCGACGUGCUCCGCUGGUAAUCAACCAAGGCUACCCUCUGUUGGCCAUAAUAAGCCGCGGCGACGAUCAGGCGCAGCAGAGCGCGUGUGCGGGCGCGCGCUGGCCGCGUCGGGUGCGUCGGGCCCGUAGCAAGUGCGUGCGUGUGUGUGCAUGGGUGCGCGUGUGUGCGCGCGGUAGCCAUGCCGUAGACGUAGGUGGCCGUUGGCGAGCAGGGCGGUGUGAUCGGGUCAGACUAGUGGGCGCAGCCGAAGCGGGCCAGGUCGUGGCCAGGCUGGGCGGGGGACGUGCGGGUCAUGCCCGGCAUGUGCCCAGGGUAUAAGAGCACCUGCGGGCUCGUUGUAAUGGCCGUGGGUUAUUGAGUUCGAGCUCAAGGAAAGCGUUCGUGCGCUGAAAACCUCCCCGUGUCCUUCUUCCUUCUGUCUUCGUCCUCCUCGUGUCGUUCGAGCGCAGCAGAGAGGGAGAGCGAGGUAGAAGAGCGGCGUCGCGCGAGGCGGCGCCAACACCAUCCAUUGUGGCUUCCUUGCCGUGGUUGUGUCCGUCCGUAUAUGUGCAGCGACACGAUCGUGCCGGCGGCCAUGGACGCCUUCACUUACGGUGGAGAGGGAUGGUGCUCAAGGGCCUCGGCGUCCAGGAGGAGCGCAUCAACGCACACCUGGGCGCGCUCGCCGACGCCGUCCAACGGCGUGCCGCGGGACGCAGAGACCGUCGUGUGUGUCCAUGCAGGCGCGCUGCGACGACAGUGUGAUCACCAUGAUUGUCCAGCACGAGAUGGAGGGGCUCGAGGUGCACGCCUCGAACGGGAGUUGGCUCGCAGUGCCACCCGAUCCGGCGGCCUUCACAUUCGUGGCCGGCAAGAAGUUCAGUGUAAAACAAGUGCCAUCUCUCUGACGGUGCUACUGUUAGAAUGAUCAGAGGAGAGAGCCUACAUAGGGUUACAUCUCAGUUGGCGUAUGUACAUUUCAAGUUGUUGGAAACUGUAGCAGCAGUAAAAUUCUGAUACCCACCAAGUGCAGCCAAAAUAAAUACUUUACCAAUCAGAGGUUCAAACUCAUGUCCGGAUGUGACUAUAUCAGGGUUCAGGUCACAGAGUACACGACAAGAGAACCAUGCGGGGAAUGUACUCGUCUCCCGAGGCUGCUGGCCGCCAAAGGUCUCUUCCCGUCCAGGCCGAACACCAUCCGACCUGGUCGGGAAGAGACCUACACAAUUCUUCGUGGUUGUACCGAUGCAUCAGAUUAGCUGGCUCCGUCCGGCUGCCGAAAAAUUGUUCCCGAUGCCUUUCAAACCUACACAAUUCAAUUUGUAUAAAUUUGGCAAACACUUUUCACUCUCUGGAUAUAUGGACGGAUCUCUGUCCGUCGACCCUUGCUAGGGGGAAUUGGAAUUAGAACUGAGAGGCUCUGGAGAGAUCGAUAUUUAUUGGCUGGGGAGACAUGAAGGUGUAGCACAUGGGGUACUCUUCUCUAGCAGAUUUUCAUAUGCUAUGUUCACCUUUAUGCGUAGUAAAACCAUAUAUUGACUAUGUCAUAGGGGAUCCAGACGGAACUAGCAAAGGUAAUAAUACAGGUGUCACCUAUUCUUGUAUUGUAGCCUCCUGUUUCCCCCUCGGUGCUUAGUCUCACAUGUCCUGUGUCUUCUGCCCAUAGAUGGGAACAACUGUGGAUGAAGGCUAGGAGUACAUUAUCAUCACGCCACUGGAGAAGCUGAGCGUGACAGCCAUCGACGCCUACGACAACCACCAGAUGGCGAUGGCCUUCUCCCUGGCCACCUGCGCCGAGGUACCAGCCACCAUCGAGGACCCCGGGUGCACCCACAUGAUCUUCCCCAACAACUUGGACAUGCUAAGCACCUUCGUCUUCUUGCGAGAUGAUGUAUGAGCCUAUAAUAUUAGUUUUAUAGCAUGGGGUGGGACUUGAGGUAAAAUGAGUUGUAGUGCACCCUGUAUUCAUUUUUUGAAUAAGAAAUAAAUGACCAGCCAGUUAGUUACCCAGAUGUAAUGCUGCUCAAGGAGGAUCUUCAACAUGCAAGCUAGGGGAGGAGGCAACAUCCCCACGCUCCCAAGUAACCAAGGAUUCAGCAAAUGGUGCCCAAGUAGUACAGCUUGCACAAAGAGUAGCACAACUCUCAACUGCUUGAACAUGUAAUGCUCAACCGAAACGAAACAAUUCAAGUAAACAUCUCAAUGCGAGAUCCUACAGAGCGAGUGUGUGCCACCUGCAUAGGAGAUCGAUGCUCAUUGUUAUUGCAUUAUGCGUGAAGCAUGCUAUGGAAGCUUAAUUAAUGCGACUUUGUAACAUGUACUACUACUUUUUAAGAAUCACAUGUACUCCCUCCGUAAACUAAUAUAAGAGUGUUUAGAUCACUAUUUUAGUUAUCUAAACACUCUUAUAUUAGUUUACAGAGGGAGUACAUACUAGUGUGUACUAGGAGAAACAGUUGGCGUAAACAAGUGAACCUUGGGACACCGAGGAGCAGCCUAAUGUGUACUUCAGCAUUCCACGGGGACUGUACAACUUGUUUCCCGCGAUGGCUGGCCCGCAAAAGGUCCCUUCCAUUCCAGGCCGAUCGCCAUCUUCUCUACUUGGUUAGCCUGGAGAAAUAAAGUGGUUAACAGACUUUGCCUCAUCAUCAUAAAAUUGUUCCUGGUUCCUUUUAAGCCCACACAAUUCAUAAUUGAUGCUUUUCAAUCUCUAGAUAUACGGAUGAUUUUCUCAUUGUUAGAGGAAAUAUGAAUUGGAACUGAGGGGCACGAGGGAGAUUGAUCUCCAUCCAACGUUGCUAGAGAAUAUUGGUAUUGGGUAUGGUGACAUGAAGGUGCCACCACUUGCCCACCGCAUUGCAUAUCUUUUGUGUGCUUGUGGUACUAUUUUAGCUCAUGGGUUACACUUCUAUAGUUAGCUUUAAUUUGCUAUCUUCACCUUUAUGUAGUAAAAUCAUAUAUUGACGAUGUCAUAGGCUCUCAUCGGGUACACGCCUCCAUAGCUAAAUCACUGGUCAUCCUACAAAAUUCGGUACGAAUGGCAAACACAUAGCAUGGCUUCCAUGGUCGACACCAGCACAACAAAGAGGCAAGAGCAUGAGCAGGUUUAUUACAGUCAUAAUGAUUACAAUCAUAAUGAGAACUCACCCUAAUGGUUCCAUUGAUUUCAAUGGUUUGAUCUGUUGUACCCUUGUAGGAAUCCUCAUCUGAUGUAUGGAUCCCCCGAAGGAAGUAGGGAAACAAAUCCAAUUAUUUCAUUUUGAUAGUGGUGAUAAUAUCGAGGGAAAGAUUAUACCUUCACCAAUGAAGUUAAUACAAGUGAGGAUUGAUUUUUGUUAUUCAUAUAAUUCAGAAUAGGAAGAUUGUCUCGAUGAAGACUGGCCUUCUCACUCUCAGCACAUCUACGUCUAGAUUCUUCCCUGGGUUCUUGAAUUGAGAUGCCGACAACUCUUUCCUCGGGAAUUAUGCCAUCUGUUUGCUAUGAAAAAUCAGACUAUGACAGAUCAUAUAGAUAAAAAUGAAUGGAGUUUUAUUAGCUCACUGUACACAUCCAGUAUAACGUCUUCCUGAGCCCCUAUUUAAAGAGGUGUCAUGUUCUGUUUUACCAUGGGGAUGAUCAUCCAAUACAUUGCUUGUUUGUUAAGAACGUAAGAAGUCGAUACUAGAAUAGGUGUUUAUCCAACAGAGGUUCGACUUGAGCUUCAAUAAAACUAGUUGAGAGGAUAAACUCACUGCUUGAAAUUUAAUUCCAAUGGCAUGUAAUUCUUGCUAGGAGAAAGCAUUGCUUGCUUCAGUGUCAUGCAAGCUAGGUAAGGGACACAACAGCUCUCAACUAAGUGCUUUAAAUAUAAUGCUCAACCUAAAUGAAACAAUCCAAGUAUGGAUGUCAACACGAGAUCCUAUGGAGGGAGAGCCCACCACCAACAUAGAAGAUCGAUGCCCAUUAUUGUUGCGUUAUGCGUUAUGCGUUAAGCACGUUGUGGGCACUUAAUUAGUGUGACCUUUUAGUAGACACAAUUGGGCAGACAUUUAGCAUAAGCAAGUGGCCCAAUUCGUUUUUAGAAAAAACAAGAGCGUCACAUGGCAAUCCAUAUUCUACACAAUCAAAAAAAUACUCUAAUGAGAAGAGGUGUGACCUCAGGUCGAGAGAUGCCUAAAUGUCAGGUCAGAGUGUCAAUGCACCUUGUCGCAGGGAUUGUACAUGUCUCCUAUAGUUGCUAGCCUGCUAAGGUCUCUUCCCAUCGGGGCCUAUCACCAAGUCCUCUAUCAGAUGAGGUUGGGGAAACAAACUAUUGUAACAAAUGGAGCCUUGUUUUCAUAAAACUGUUCCCGGUGGUUUCGUACACUUAUAUUACAAUCAUGAGGAGAACGUUAACUCACCCUAAUGGUUUCACUUAUUUGAAUGGAUUGAUCUGUCCUACCAUAGUAGGAAUCCUCAUUCAAUUUAUUAAUCCCCUUGAGAAAGUGGGGAAGCAAAUCUAAUUAUUUUGUUUUGAUACGAGUAGUUACAGUUUCAAGGAAAGUGUAUCUCUUCAUUCAUGAAGGUAAUAAAAGUGAGGAUUGAUUCUGUUAUCCAUAUAAUUCGAAAGAGGAAGAUCAUCUUCUCAAGGAAGCCUGACCUUCUCGCUCUCGGCACAUCCGAGUAUUUUGUUCAGAUAUUUUUUACUAUUUUUAAAUUGUUUUUUCUAAGCGGGUGUGCCUAGACCCGGGUUCCAAAAAUCCACAUCCGGCUCGAUGGUAGAUGAAUAAAUUUGUUUUAUAAACACUAUCAUACGUGGAGUAUUGGUGAAGUCUAGCAUCCACUUGGGAAAUUUAAAACCGCUCGGAAUGAGCGGGUAGCUAUCUGAAAAGAACAAAAAAGACAAUCAACACUCGAGAGAUUUAUUUAAAGAAAGCAAAUAAGCAGGGGGUGCUUUGGUAGACGGCCCAGAUACUUUCCCCCACCCGGAACCCCCCAUCGAUUCUCGUCUCCCUCCGACCCCAGCGGCGGCGCACGUCUGGGGCUCCGCCGGCGGCCGGACUAAAUGAGUGAGUCCCUCGGUUUCUCUUCCCCCUCCCUCCGUCCCUCCGUUCUUCUCUCCGCACACACACAGGGCGAGAGCCAGAGCAAGCGCGAGCUUGGCCGGCAGCGCACGGUAGCGGGGCUGCUGCUGCUUGCCGGUGGUGUGGCAGUAGCAGGGGUAGGAUCUUGUCGUUUGUCAUUUCUUUAGGUGCGCUUCCUGCUGCAGGAGCAAGAGCAGGAGCAGUUGCAGGAGCUUCAGGGACGGCGACACGAGGCUGACGCGCGCAUGAGCUUCACGGCAGCACCUUGAUUUCCUCCCCAGAUCCCAGGUUAUUUGGCCCGCCCCUAAAUCCUAAUGUUCCUCUUAGUACUAGUGCUUUGCAGAGAAUCUCCAUGCUGUUGACUUGUCAUCUAAAUAUUGCCGAAUUGCCAGCAUAGAAUGUCCAUGGUUUUACAACGAGACAAAUAUGUUAAUUUAUACUCCCUCCGUCCCAAAAAGCUUGUUCCUCAAAUGGAUGUAUCUAGCACCAAGUUAGUGCUAGAUACAUCAAUUUGAGGGACAAAUUUUUCCGGACGGAGGGAGUAUUCAACAAAAAUCCUAGGCUUGGAGGAGCACCUUCCUUCCUUCCGAUUUUGACAACUCUUUGGUUGGGGACCGAAAGUUGCUUGUUUGCCCAUGGAGUAGCAAGUAGCUACGUACGUGUUUGCGCACCGUUGGACACAAAAUUAGGAUGGGGUAAUCGGAGGCGAUUUUUGGUAGAUCUAGUGAAGUUUGUUCGCCCGUAUUGAGAGAGAGUUUUCGUCGAUACACAAGGGCGCACCUGAGCCGGAGAAAGGGAACUGUUGAACAACUUACCUGUCCCAUCUUGGCAUGGGUCAUGGCAACCUUGUAUGCCCACGCUUCGCGCACUCCUUGAUAAUUGGAAACUAUAGCCUGUACAUAUGAUCAUUUUCCAAUCAAGGUUGCAAGUUAUUUGGAAUUCUAGGAGCAUCGUGUGUACAAAUAAACUGAGGAAAUACAGGAACACAGAAUUAUUACAGAAGCCAGUCAAACAGAAUAACAUUGUCUUCAUCAGAAAUGCAAGUAUUGUGCUCCUGUUUUCGUUUUUAAUCCUUUUUUGGCUUUUUUUACCUUUCAUUUAAUUAAUCAUAGCUGUAUUACAUCCAGUCUAUCUUGUAACUAUUGCAACUUUACUCAACAAUUCUUUGUCUUGCCCCCUUUGUUAUUUAUAGGACAUAAUGGCGGAUAUCCCGUUAGGCUGUUACACUAUAAAGUCCCAUGGAGCCCAAAUUGCAAGACUCCACAUGUAUGACUGGAUAAUACUUGUCCUCCUUGCUGUCAUAGAUGGAUUGUUGAAUAUAAUUGAGCCUUUUCACCGUUUCGUUGGGAAGGACAUGAUGACUGACUUGAGAUACCCCUUACAGGGCAAUACUGUGCCCUUUUGGGCUGUUCCGGUGUGUUCUUGUGCUGCUAAUUUUGGACUUCCCAUUGUUUACAUCAUUUUUGUGCCAUUCAAUAAGAUAGUUCCACUUUUGUAACUCACAUGAUUUGCAGGUCAUUGGAAUCGUCUUACCCUGUGCCAUCUUUGGUGGAAUUUACUUCAAGAAGAAGAAUUUCUAUGAUUUGCACCAUGGCAUACUGGGUAUCUACAUAUUCUUAGGCAUAUGAAUAUGUUGACAUUGUAUGUACAAGAAAUAAUUCGAAACACGUGUUUUUGUAGGUAUUCUUUAUUCGGUGCUCAUAACUGCGGUGAUUACUGAUGCAAUUAAGGAUGGAGUUGGCCGACCGCGUCCUGAUUUCUUCUGGCGCUGUUUCCCAGAUGGAAAGGAUGUAAGAUUACUAGCCAAGAACUUCACUUUUUCCAGUCACAAGUUCAUCUUUGUUGACCUGCCCAUUGUUCAGUUCUUAUCAUCUAUGGAGCCCAUAUUGACCAAAACUCAUCGAAGGACUCUUUUUCAGCUUUAUGACAAUGUCACUACUGGCGUUCUGUGCCAUGGGGAGAAGAGUGUCAUCAAGGAAGGUCACAAGAGCUUCCCAAGUGGACAUGCAUCAUGUAAGUCAUUUAAUAUACCUAAUGUUUCCUUUGGAAAUACUGGUGUCAGGCAUUUGGUCAGCUAUGCCUAUGGAAUUCUUUAAAACUCAGUUACAUACUUGAAGUUGUUUUUUACACCCUUGUGAUAAUCCUUUUUGACACAAACCAUGCUGGGACCUGGGAAUAAGUGAUGAUACCUGUAUUUUUGCGGUUGGUUGGGCUGCUUGUGUUAGCUGGCUUAGGAGGCCUUAGUGGCAGUCAUUGAACCAGGGGAAGUCUGAUGGGUGGCUAGGCCACAAUUGGGCACGAGACAGCCUGGUGCGUUGGCUACAUUGGUGCGAUGUGGCAGCGAACCAGGAAGUGACCCAUUUCAGUUUAGAUGCUUUGGUUGCUGCUUGGUGUAGUAGUUGUGUGGUAACUAGUUUUGGAACUACUCCACAGCAUAAAAACAUUGGGUUUGUCAUGUGUACCAUUUUGUGGAGGUAUAUAUAUACAUCUUAUAAUGGACAAUGCCACAUAGGUCAUAUGUUUGAUUAGAGACCCCACAAAAUUGGCCUAGCCUUACAAUUGGGUCAGUCUUUUAUUACCCACAUGUACAAUCUAUUUAUGUUGUAGUGCUGUUACAAUUGCGUCAAAUAGGUCAUGGCUAGAUCACCUAACUAGACCAUCGAUAAAAUAACCUGUUUUCUUUCACCUUGUGCUAAUAAUCAAUCUAUUCCAGGGUCUUUCGCCGGCCUGGGCUUCCUCACGUGGUACUUAACUGGGAAAAUCGCGGUUUUUGACCGUAAAGGCCAUAUCGCAAAGCUGUGCAUCAUUGUUCUGCCUCUGCUUACAGCUGCGCUCGUUGCCGUUUCUCGUGUGGACGACUACUGGCAUCACUGGCAAGAUGUGUUUGCAGGAGCUAUCAUAGGUUCGUUUGCCAUCUGUCGUAGUUGCGUAAAUUAGUUAUACAGGUGACCUUCUAGAUGCGCAUAAUUGAUUAAUAAAAAUAAAUAUACUCCUGUUGCCCUUUGCAGGUCUCACAGUGGCCUCAUUCUGUUACCUGCAAUUUUUCCCAUAUCCUUUCGACGCAGACGGUGCCUCCCCCUUUUACCAAUUUACUUCUCAAUGAUAAUACUUAGCAAGUAACGAUUUCCCUUGCAGGAUUGUGGCCUUACGCAUACAACACCCUCCAGCUAGCCGAGGCGGGCAUUGCAGCAAACUCCUUCAGCGUGCGGCCCACCGAGGAGAUGGUAGAAGAAGGGCAAGGUGAGGGUGGGAUCGCCCUGAGAGACGCCGUGUGGCCCAUGGAGGAGACGGUAGAAGAAGGGCAAGGUCAGGGCAGGAUCGCCCUGAGAGACGCCCUGAGAUGUGAAGAAGACCAGGACUGGAAAGAUCCGACGACACCCUAACUGCAAUGAUUUUCCUCAGGCUUAUGUUUUCGGCGCACAUCGCAGGCGGCUAUCUGGGAGCUGUUUUUCUCAUGCACAGUUUGGUUGCUUGGUUUUCACCGUUUGUUUGCUAGAGGUUGACUUGAUUGGAUAGUUUGGCCAGUGAGGAUCUCGGCUGUAUAUUACAACCUAGUUAGUGUUAGUGUGGUGGGUGAGACAUUGUGCAUUAAUUAUUUCUUGGUCUUUCUGAUGGCUGUUUUUUCAGAAAGCGGUAUGUAUGUAUAUAUGAUUUGCUUUGAUUUUAUCAAGUUUGAUUGGGUUGCUCAACUUGGGUGAAUUGCAACCAGAAAAAUUGGUUUGAAUGCAGGAAUUCUCAUACAGGUAAACUUUGCGCCCACUUCAGAUCAUCGGUUGUUUCUACUACUACCUCUGUCCGGAUUUAUUAGGCUCCCUCAUAUUUGGGUCAAAGUAUAAUGCUGGCUGUCUAUUAGGCUCCCUCAUAUUUCGGGUCAAAGUAUAAUGCUGGUUGUCUUCCAAAGUGGUUUUCAUUGGUAUAAUUUUUGUGAGAUGUAAAAGAGGGCCUAAUAAAACCUUGUGAAAUGUUAUUUGCUAGGAACCCUCAUGAUCAUGUUCCAAGGGAAAUGGUUUGUUGAGCCUUUGUUGCUUUAGAUAUUAAGAUUUUGCUCAAGGCAGCAAUACCAUUUCCACUGCCAAACAUAAAUCAGCACUAAACAUUCUAAAGAUAUGAAAGAAACGCUGUGUGAUCUAUGGAGACGCUACCAAAUCUGAAAACAGGUCCAACAGCGAUCCAUGUAUAAACAUCCAUUCCAGCACACACAACAGGGCAACGAAAAUUGACGGAAGAUAACUUAGGACGAUAGGCACUUAGAAUCACGAAGCAAAGAACCUAGUCAUACAAAACCCAGUUCUCAUACUACAGAAAGUUUCAAAAAUAUCUUGGUACGUUGGAGGUGUCUCUCCACCCUUGUAAAAAGAUUUAAAGACACAUAUCUUGGGGUAGCAUAACUACUGGUCGCUGAUGGUCACUUCGACCUCGACGCCAGGCUCGAUGGUGAUAGAGGUGAUCUGCUUGACAACGUCUGGGGAGCUGACAAGGUCGAUCACCCUCUUGUGCACCCGCAUCUCAAACCGAUCCCAG
rnacentral:lncRNA from 1 species